rnacentral:miRNA from 1 species
GGCCAUGGACUCUGCCCUGUUUCUGGAAGGACAUGGGGCAAGUCAGCCCUGUGGACAAACAUUUCUCCUUAUCCUGUCCCAGUGCCAGCUCCACGG